AAUCAACGCUGGCGGCGUGCCUCAGACAUGCAAGUCGAACGCGAAAGUCCCCUUCGGGGGACGAAGUAGAGUGGCGCACGGGUGAGUAACACGUAGGUAAUCUACCUUUGGAUGGGAAUAACAACCGGAAACGGUUGCUAAUACCGCAUAAUGCAGCGGCACCUAAUGGUGACAGUUGUUAAAGCGGGGGAUCGAAAGACCUCGCGUCUGAAGAGGAGCCUGCGGCGGAUUAGCUAGUGGUAAGGUAAUGGCUUACCAAGGCUACGAUCCGUAACCGGCCUGAGAGGGCGGGUCGGUCACACUGACACUGACAUACGGGUCAGACUCCUACGGGAGGCAGCAGUCGGGAAUUUUGGGCAAUGGGCGAAAGCCUGACCCAGCAACGCCGCGUGAAGGAUGAAAUCCCUCGGGAUGUAAACUUCGCAAGAACGGGAAGAAUAAGCGAGAGUUAAUAUCUUUCGUGAUGACGGUACG
rnacentral:rRNA from 1 species